CUGGUUGAUCCUGCCGGCGCCACCGCUAUUGGAAUUCGAUUAAGACACGCUUAGUUACGUAGCCAAAGGACUCGGCGGACCGCUCAGUACCACGCGGAUAACAUGCCCUUGGGUGGGGGAUAACCUCGGGAAACUGAGAAUAAUUUCCCCAUAGAUCUAGAAAGCUGGAAUGCUUUUAGAUCGAAAACUCCGGUGCCCAAGGAUUGGUCUGCGGCGUAUCAGGUUGUAGUGGGUGUAACGGACCCCCUAGCCUAUGACGCGACAGGGCCUUGAGAGAGGGAGCCCUGAGAUGGACUCUGAGACAUGAGUCCAGGCCCUACGGGGCGCAGCAGUCGCGAAAACUUCACAAUGGGGGGAAACCCCGAUGAGGGAAUUCCAAGUGCCAGCACAUUGUGUUGCCUGUUCUCUGGUCUAAAAAACCAGAGAAGUAAGGGGCCGGGUAAGACGGGUGCCAGCCGCCGCGGUAAUACCCGCGGCCCAAGUGGUGGUCGAUAUUAUUGAGCCUAAAACGUCCGUAGCCGGUCUUUGUAAAUCCUUGGGUAAAUCGACCAGCUCAACUGUUCGAAGUCCGGGGAGACUGCAAGACUUGGGAUCGGGGAGAGGUGAGAGGUACUUCUGGGGGUAGGGGGUAAAAUCCUGUAAUCCUAGAAGGACCACCGGUGGCGAAGGCGUCUCACUAGAACGAAUCCGACGGUGAGGGACGAAGCCCUGGGGCGCAAACGGGAUUAGAUACCCCGGUAGUCCAGGGU
rnacentral:rRNA from 1 species